CCUACGGGAGGCAGCAGUGGGGAAUUUUCCGCAAUGGGCGAAAGCCUGACGGAGCAAUACCGCGUGAGGGAGGAAGGCUCUUGGGUUGUAAACCUCUUUUCUCAGGGAAGAACAAAUGACGGUACCUGAGGAAUAAGCAUCGGCUAACUCCGUGCCAGCAGCCGCGGUAAUACGGAGGAUGCAAGCGUUAUCCGGAAUGAUUGGGCGUAAAGCGUCCGCAGGUGGGUGUUCAAGUCUGCUGUCAAAGGUCGGGGCUCAACUCCGUUAAGGCAGUGGAAACUGAACAGCUAGAGUGCGGUAGGGGUAGAGGGAAUUCCCAGUGUAGCGGUGAAAUGCGUAGAGAUUGGGAAGAACACCGGUGGCGAAAGCGCUCUACUGGACCGCAACUGACACUCAGGGACGAAAGCUAGGGGAGCGAAUGGGAUUAGAUACCCCAGUAGUCCUAGCCGUAAACGAUGGAUACUAGGUGUUGCUGGUAUCGACCCCAGCAGUAUCGUAGCUAACGCGUUAAGUAUCCCGCCUGGGGGUACGCGCGCAAGCGNGAACACAANAGAUGAGCGNGAGACGNGCGACGACGACGACGAGGAGAG
rnacentral:rRNA from 1 species